rnacentral:rRNA from 1 species
AUUGAACGCUGGCGGCAUGCUUUACACAUGCAAGUCGAACGGUAACAGGGAGCUUGCUCCGCUGACGAGUGGCGAACGGGUGAGUAAUGCGUCGGAACGUGCCGAGUAGUGGGGGAUAACGCAUCGAAAGGUGUGCUAAUACCGCAUUCGAACUGAGGUUGAAAGUGGGGGACCUUCGGGCCUCACGCUAUUCGAGCGGCCGACGUCUGAUUAGCUAGUUGGUGAGGUAAAGGCUCACCAAGGCGACGAUCAGUAGCGGGUCUGAGAGGAUGAUCCGCCACACUGGGACUGAGACACGUCCCAGACUCCGACGGGAGGCAGCAGUGGGGAACUUUGGACAAUGGGCGCAAGCCUGAUCCAGCCAUGCCGCGUGUCUGAAGAAGGCCUUCGGGUUGUAAAGGACUUUUGUCCGGGAGCAAAUGCUGGUGGCUAACAUCCACCGGAGCUGAGAGUACCGGAAGAAUAAGCACCGGCUAACUACGUGCCAGCCGCCGCGGUAACAC